rnacentral:rRNA from 1 species
GUUAGGAAUAUUCGUCAAUGGGGGAAACCCUGAACGAGCAAUGCCGCGUGAAGGAUGACGGUCCUAUGGAUUGUAAACUUCUGUUGUUAGGGAAGAACGACCUAAGUAGGAAAUGACUUAGGAGUGACGGUACCUUUCAAGAAAGCUCCGGCUAACUACGUGCCAGCAGCCGCGGUAAUACGUAGGGAGCGAGCGUUAUCCGGAUUUAUUGGGUGUAAAGGGUGCGUAGGCGGCUUCUUAAGUCUGUAGUCUAAGCCCGGAGCUUAACUCCGGUUCGCUACAGAAACUGAUUAGCUUGAGUAUGGUAGAGGCAAGUGGAAUUUCUAGUGUAGCGGUUAAAUGCGUAGAUAUUAGAAGGAACACCAGUGGCGAAGGCGACUUGCUGGGCCAUUACUGACGCUGAGGCACGAAAGCGUGGGGAGCAAAUAGG